CUGUUGCCCCUGCCCCCUCAAAUCUACCUUGAUCCUCCUCCUUCCCCUCGUCGGGAUGAGUGUGUCCAUUACUGUCCCCUGAUCCAAAGUAUCAAUCACUUCCAAUGGGCACUGCUCCCUCUGACAGGAUCCACUCACACACUCUAGGGGUAGGGAAGCCCUGCUAUGGAGGGUGACCCAAGAUCAACACGGUUUGUGUCCAUAAAAGAGUCUUUGUCUUUCUUUAGGUCAACGAUGGGAAUGGAUCACUGACAUCUCCAUGAUGCCCGAGACCUCACAGAGUUACCUUCCAGGGCCCUCCCGUGUUCCCGGGAGGGAGCUCAAGGACACAUACACCUCUAUCCCCGUCACCGCUAUGGAAGACCCCGCAGACGUCCUUCAGGUCAACGAUGGGAAUGGACCACUGACAUCUCCACGAUGCCCAACACCUCACAGUUACUUGCCAGGGCCCUCCCGUGUUCCCCGCAGGGAGUGCGAGGACACAUACACCUCUAUCCCCAUCACCACUCCGGAAGACACCGCAGACGUCCUUCAGGUGAGCAUUACUCCGCUCAGGGAGGUCCUAAUUACUCUUAUGAAUGAAUGCAACCAGCACCUUCCUCAGCAGAGCACUACACACAUCACUUGGGAAGACAGAUGUUAUCCAGGGCCUGUUUACUUUCCGCGUCCCACUCAUCUCACCCCCACUACAUUGUGAUGACUCGUCCAUGACUUCUCCUGUUCCUUGAAAAUGCCAACAUAAUAUCGUCUAAUUUGCAUCUUGCUCAAUACAGAAUCUUUUUCCUCUGCUAAUUUUCACCUGGAUGAUUAAAGAAGGCCCUGAGGGACAGAGUUCCUUCCUCUGUUUUACUCUUCCAUUAGGAGUUAUCUUCAUCAAUAGGUAUUCGUGUUCCUAGGUCAGGCUACUUAAGAGUAUUUUGAAGAUGUCUAGGAUCCAGGUGACUGGCAGGGCUCUCAUGUGAUCAAGGCAGACAACUCCAGAACCACAUGCAUCAAACAGUAUCAGUGCAAUGACAGAUGCCACCAAACUCCCUGUGUUGUAUCCCUGCACUCACAAUGAAUCAACUACACAGUUAUUUGAUGGACACCCUUCUGCAUGGGGCACGACACAUACCUUUCUUUCAUUUGGAGGACAUGCCCAGACACCUUUACAUUCUCAUGUGCAACUUCCAUCUACGUUGCCUACACCUUCAGACAUCAUAAUGAGACUGUCCCCAAGACGGACUCAUAACCACAGACAAUGCUUACAGGCCGCCCUCUGAAUAUCAAAUGUCACUCACUAAGCAUCCCCUUCCUUAAAUGAUGUUAAGGACACAAUGAUUAAGAUUGUUCCUGUGUCUCUUCUUCUGGAAGAAAUUAUACUUAACCUUUUUAUUCACAGUGCUAAAACAUUGAAAUCCUGCUGAAAAGGCGUUCGAUCAGAGCCAGCCUGGACCAAAGUCCCUCCUGUGGUCCAAGUACUCAGUUCAAGGACAUAAGCAUUUCUAUCUGCCUCAUGGGACUGAAGGCCACAAAGGUGGUGGUGGUAAAUGUUGCCCUACUAAAACAGGUACUAAGAGGCAAGACAUAAGUGUCAGGAGCACUGUUCUUGGGAGGUGGGUCACCUGUGAGAGNCAAAAAAAAAAAAAAAAAAAAAAAAAAAAAAAAAAAACUGGCCACUCAUGCCUUGACUCAGAAACAAAAGGUUUAAAAAAAAA
ensembl:lncRNA